rnacentral:rRNA from 1 species
AAGCAGAGGACAGUGGCGGACGGGUGAGUAACGCGUGAGGAACCUGCCUUUCAGAGGGGGACAACAGUUGGAAACGACUGCUAAUACCGCAUGAUAUAUUGGUGUCGCAUGGCACUGAUAUCAAAGAUUUAUCGCUCUGAGAUGGACUCGCGUCUGAUUAGCUAGUUGGUGAGGUAACGGCCCACCAAGGCGACGAUCAGUAGCCGGACUGAGAGGUUGAACGGCCACAUUGGGACUGAGAUACGGCCCAGACUCC